UGAUUAGCUUGUUGGUGAGGUAAUGGCCUACCAAGACUGUGAUCAAUAGCUGAUUUGAGAGGAUGAUCAGCCACAUUGGGACUGAGACACGGCCCAAACUCCUACGGGAGGCAGCAGUGGGGAAUCUUGCACAAUGGAGGAAACUCUGAUGCAGCGAUGCCGCGUGAGUGAAGAAGGCCCUUGGGUUGUAAAGCUCUUUCGUCGGGGAAGAAAAUGACUGUACCCGAAUAAGAAGGUCCGGCUAACUUCGUGCCAGCAGCCGCGGUAAUACGAAGGGACCUAGCGUAGUUCGGAAUUACUGGGCUUAAAGAGUUCGUAGGUGGUUGAAAAAGUUGGUGGUGAAAUCCCAGAGCUUAACUCUGGAACUGCCAUCAAAACUUUUCAGCUAGAGUAUGAUAGAGGAAAGCAGAAUUUCUAGUGUAGAGGUGAAAUUCGUAGAUAUUAGAAAGAAUACCAAUUGCGAAGGCAGCUUUCUGGAUCAUUACUGACACUGAGGAACGAAAGCAUGGGUAGCGAAGAGGAUUAGAUACCCUCGUAGUCCAUGCCGUAAACGAUGUGUGUUAGACGUUGGAAAUUUAUUUUCAGUGUCGCAGCGAAAGCGAUAAACACACCGCCUGGGGAGUACGACCGCAAGGUUAAAACUCAAAUGAAUUGACGGGGACCCGCACAAGUAGUGGAGCAUGUGGUUUAAUUCGAAGAUACGCGCAGAACCUUACCAACACUUGACAUGUUCGUCGCGACUCUAAGAGAUUAGAGUUUUCGGUUCGGCCGGACGAAACACAGGUGCUGCAUGGCUGUCGUCAGCUCGUGUCGUGAGAUGUUGGGUUAAGUCCCGCAACGAGCGCAACCCUCACUUUUAGUUGCCAUCAUUAAGUUGGGCACUCUGAAAGAACUGCCAGUGAUAAGCUGGAGGAAGGUGGGGAUGACGUCAAGUCCUCAUGGCCCUUACGUGUUGGGCUACACACGUGCUACAAUGGUAUCUACAACAGGAAGCAAGACUGCGAAGUUAAGCAAAUCCCUAAAAGAUACCUCAGUUCGGAUUGCACUCUGCAACUCGAGUGCAUGAAGCUGGAAUUACUAGUAAUCGUGGAUCAGCGUGCCACGGUGAAUGCGUUCCCGGGUCUUGUACACACCGCCCGUCACACCAUGGGAGUUGGUUCUACCUUAAGGCAAGGUUUCAAACCCUUGACCACGGUAUAGUCAGCGACUGGGGUGAAGUCAUAACAAGGUAGCCG
rnacentral:rRNA from 1 species